AGUGACCACUUUUCUCUCCAGCUGCCUCGCAUGAUGGCAAAUGGCAUAUUUAAAUGGUAAAAGGCUUGAUCUCUAUCUCAAAACAUUUGACAUACUCACACUGAAGAUGGAAAAAACUGUUUUUGAUGGCUUCAGAGGAAAGACUGUGUACUAAGAAGAGGUGAUACAUCACAGGGGCUCAUGAAUGUGUCUUAAGCUGGGUCAUUGAAGUGGAAUGUUUUCACAAGACCUCCUCCACUUGCUACUGUGUCCGGAAUUGGUGGGUUCUUGGUCUCACUGACUUCAAGAAUGAAGCCGCGGACCCUCGCGGUGAGUGUUACAGUUCUUAAAGGUGGCAUGUUUGGAGUUUGUUCCUUCUGAUGUUCGGAUGUGUUCGGAGUUUCUUCGUUCUGGUGGGUUCGUGGUCUCGCUGGCUCCGGAGUGAAGCUGCAGACCUUUGCAGUGAGUGUUACAGCUCU
rnacentral:lncRNA from 1 species